UGAGGAAUAUUGGACAAUGGGUGAGAGCCUGAUCCAGCCAUCCCGCGUGAAGGACUACAGCCCUAUGGGUUUUAAACUUCUUUUGUAUGGGGAUAAACCUACCCUCGUGAGGGUAGCUGAAGGUACCAUACGAAUAAGCAUCGGCUAACUCCGUGCCAGCAGCCGCGGUAAUACGGAGGAUGCGAGCGUUAUCCGGAUUUAUUGGGUUUAAAGGGUCCGUAGGCGGGCUAGUAAGUCAGCGGUGAAAUCCUACAGCUUAACUGUAGACCUGCCGUUGAUACUGCGAGUCUUGAAUAGUAUUGAAGUAGCCGGAAUGUGUAGUGUAGCGGUGAAAUGCAUAGAUAUUACACAGAACACCAAUUGCGAAGGCAGGUUACUAAAUACCGAUUGACGCUGAUGGACGAAAGCGUGGGGAGCGAACA
rnacentral:rRNA from 1 species